UGGGGAAUAUUGGACAAUGGGCGCAAGCCUGAUCCAGCCAUGUCGCGUGGGUGAUGAAGGCCCUAGGGUUGUAAAGCCCUUUCGGCGGGGAAGAUAAUGACGGUACCCGCAGAAGAAGCCCCGGCUAACUUCGUGCCAGCAGCCGCGGUAAUACGAAGGGGGCUAGCGUUGCUCGGAAUCACUGGGCGUAAAGCGCACGUAGGCGGCUUCUUAAGUCGGUGGUGAAAUCCUGGAGCUCAACUCCAGAACUGCCUUCGAUACUGAGAGGCUCGAGUCCGGGAGAGGUGAGUGGAACUGCGAGUGUAGAGGUGAAAUUCGUAGAUAUUCGCAAGAACACCAGUGGCGAAGGCGGCUCACUGGCCCGGUACUGACGCUGAGGUGCGAAAGCGUGGGGAGCAAACAGGAUUAGAUACCCAGGUAGUCCCUGAGCGGGCUGGCAAGGCGCAU
rnacentral:rRNA from 1 species